GGCUGAAAUUCGCCUUCAUGAAGCCGGAAUUGCUAGUAAUGGCAGGUCAGCAUACUGCCGUGAAUACGUUCCCGGGCCUUGUACACACCGCCCGUCACACCAUGAGAGUUGGGGAUACCCGAAGCCUGUGAGCUUAACUUAUAGAGGCAGCAGUCGAAGGUAGAAUCAAUGAUUGGGGUGAAGUCGUAACAAGGUACC
rnacentral:rRNA from 1 species